GAUGAACGCUGGCGGUAUGCUUAACACAUGCAAGUCGAACGGACUCUUCGGAGUUAGUGGCGGACGGGUGAGUAACGCGUGAGAAUCUGGCUUUGGGUUCGGGACAACCACUGGAAACGGUGGCUAAUACCGGAUGUGCCGAGAGGUAAAAGAGAAAUUGCCUGAAGAUGAGCUCGCGUCUGAUUAGCUAGUUGGUGAGGUAAAGGCUCACCAAGGCAGCGAUCAGUAGCUGGUCUGAGAGGAUGACCAGCCACACUGGGACUGAGACACGGCCCAGACUCCUACGGGAGGCAGCAGUGGGGAAUUUUCCGCAAUGGGCGAAAGCCUGACGGAGCAAAACCGCGUGAGGGAAGAAGGCUCUUGGGUUGUAAACCUCUUUUCUUAGGGAAGAACAAAAUGACGGUACCUAAGGAAUCAGCAUCGGCUAACUCCGUG
rnacentral:rRNA from 1 species